rnacentral:rRNA from 1 species
UUUCGCUGACGAGUGGCGAACGGGUGCGUAACACGUAUGCAACCUACCUUUAACUGAGGGAUAGCCCAAAGAAAUUUGGAUUAAUACCUCAUACGCCCUAAGGGGGAAAGGCCGGGAUCUUCGGACCGGUCGCUAUUGGAUGAGCCUGCGUAAGAUUAGCUAGUUGGUAGGGUAAAGGCCUACCAAGGCGACGAUCUUUAGCUGGUCUGAGAGGAUGAUCAGCCACACUGGAACUGAGACACGGUCCAGACUCC